UUAAAAGUACAAUUAUGUGAUUAAAAAAUAAUGGCAACAUUGUUCGCAGAUCCUCUUUGGGGUUCACACCAUUUUGGGAAAGAAUUUGCAUGGCUCUGCUGCUUGCCUCAGCUGGAGGGCUGGCUCAACCAUCAGGCGUCUCGGGAGGACGUAAUGUGGUCUCAGCCCCUCUCUGCCCACUCAUCUCCUUACCACCAUGGAGCAAUCUCCUCUCCCUGUCUGUCAGCGCAGAGGUGGAGGAAUGGCCAAGGUGUGCAUCUCAAGAAAACUUCCCUUCCAGCACUCAUCCCUUCCUUUUUCAAGGUGCACGUUGACUUUGUGAGUGUGCUGUAAACUUCCCUCUCUUGGUGGGAAGGAGAUGUGAAGAUUUAGGGGAAAAUGGCUUGACUGAAGAAGGAAAUGGUAUUAGGAGUGGACUUUGCACCACCCAACUUCAAAUGCUUAAUUUAGAAGUUUCCUUAGUCUCCCUCCCAGCACAACAUGAACCAUAAGGCUCCUCAGGAAGGCAGGGACACCUCUGCCAGGGACCUGCCCUCUCUGGGACCUGCUGUCUAGGUGGCCAGGCAAGGUUAGCCUCUAAAUCCAAGCCAAUAACUAAAGUCACUCAGCAAACCUUAUUGCACAAUUUCCUGAUAAAUUGAAUAUCAUUACUGGAUCCAGCAUAAACUGGACUUCCCAUGCCUGGAGGUGUUUAAAGCCAGGUUGGAUUCAGCUCUGAGCAACCUGGCCCAGUGGAAAGCGUUCCUGCUCAUGGUGGAGCUUGGAAUGAGAUGAUCUUUAGGGUCCCUUUCAUCCCAAACCAUUCCAUGAUUCUAUGAUUAACAUGCCAACAUGCAGAUCACAAAAAUACAACAUGUCGUAUAAAGAUGUCUUUAAGUGUUUGAAGAAUGCCAGCAACAUUUCAGAGUAUUUCUCAAUAUUGUCAGAAUACAGUGAGAACAGAAGAGUUUGAAACAUGGCAUUGUAGCUGCAGAAAAAAAUAAUAAAAAUGAAAAAGUCUUUAUUACUUGGCAAAUUCCAGAGAGCUAUUAUAAAAGAAAGACUUUUUCAACAAAAUGUUAUUUAACUACUGACACUGAAAAAGAAUUUUUAAAAAAUCCCUUUCCAUUCCUGUGAAAAAGAUGAGGCACUGGCAGUGCCCUCAUGCCACCAGUGAUGGCUCAGGUGACUUUACCACAGACUCAUAACACAUGGUCUGAACAAAGGGUCUUUUGUAGCAAACAAGGAUAUGCAUUGUAACUCACAUUGUUCAUCCUAGAUAAAUUCAACAGUCACUUUGCAUCUGUGUCAUUUAUUACACAAGCUAUUUUAUUUACUGCUGAUGCCUUUUAAAGGAGGUGCUAACACAGAGCUACCCUUGCUUCAGCAUCUUGAUAAUAAUAAGCUUGAAUAAUUGCCAUAUUUCUCACCUUUCUCAAUACACCCAACUCUGUUUUGAAGCUGCUAAGUCUGACAGGAAAAAACACUCACAUAAAAUCUGUUCAGAGCCAGGAUCUACUUCUUUCAGACUAGGCUGUUUUGACUGCUAAUUUGCUUUUACUCUACUGCUUUAACUCUCUAAAUCUUGACAGUUUCCUUGAAUUUUAAAAUUUUGGUGGAAAAAUAGCAUAUAUCCCAGCAAGAGGUACAACUCAUGUGACUGCAAGAUGAAGGCCUGUGGCAGGCCUUAGGUGAGCAGACAUCUUGAACUUAGUGAACUAUGCAGCCUCCAUUUGCUUCUGAAAUGCAGGGGAGAAUCACCAAAAAGCUGGUAGGAGCAGCAAGGGAAGCAGGGGGCUUAGGAGGCUGCUGUUACCAUUUUUUAUUACUUGCUGUACAGUUGGAGAAUCACACAGUCCCAGAAUGGUCUGGGGUGGAAGUGACCUCAAAGUCCAUCCAGUCCCACCCUGCCAUGGCAGGGACACCUUCCCCUGUCCCAGGCUGCUCCAAGCCCUGUCCAACCUGGCCUUGGACACUUCCAGGGAUCCAGGGGCAGCCACAGCUGCUCUGUGCCAGGUAUUUCAUUGUCUGGGCCAGCAGGUAGAAAUUCAGCCCCAAUGUUGUUCAUGUGACCCAUAAAUACAGUCUGAUGAGACUCUAACAUGAGCAGACACAUGAGCUACAAAGCAGUUUCAAUUCUUUUCCUUCUCAUUAUUUUCUUACAGGUGUAUUUUCCAUUUAUAAAUUAACUACCUGGAGCAACCCACAAUGGGGUUGCAAUCAGCAAGUGUUUCUGGAAAUGCUAACUAUAAGUGAAAAAUAAUUUUAAAUUAUAUAACAGAUUUUGUACUUUGUAUCUUUUAGUUUGUUUCUCUGCAUGCCAACAUUAUAUUGGCAAGAUUAUGUAUAAGACAUUUUAAACACAGGCUCACAUUUCCUCCUGAAUACAGAAGUCUGAGCAUAACCUGCACUAGCAGUACAGAGCAGCAAGAGAAUUCAGCAAAGAGGUACCAUGAUGCAAUAGACAAGCAGAUGAUCCUUCCUGCAGCAGGACUUCAUUGUCUGGUUAUGCAAGCGUGAACGAGAAGCUGAGGAAAAUGCCAGAAGCCUCUCAGGCAGGCUGGGGAGGCACAGGAAGGAGCGCCCAGUGUAGAGCUGGCCACCACUACCACCGACUGACCACACAAUGUAUUGCUUGUGCUCUCACUGAGCUGCCUAAAGGGAUGCCAGCACCAAAAAUUCAUAUUUUCUGAAGCUGCAACUAACAUUUUUAUUCAUUAUUCUCUUGAUAUUAUUCAUUUUUAGCAAAAUUAGAGCCCAGAAUCAAUGCUAAAAAACUGGGGUAUUUUUGUCUUUUUGAUCAACUCCACUUUUUUUUCUAUGUCAGGAAUUAAAUUUUUCUUUAAAUACAUGAUUUAAGGAAAAUUACUUAACAUAUCAGUAUAUGCUAUCAUAUGUAAAUCACUGACACAACAAUUUAUAAUCAACUAAAAAGAUACAAAUUUUUUAUUUAAUUACCAAUAAAAUCUAUGUACUUAAGACCACCCAAAAUUUUUAUGUAGGCUUGGGGGCUUUUAAUACUUUAAAAUAUAUUUUUUUCUAAGUAGUUCACUAAAUACAGCAUCUGCAACACAAGGCACAAAACACUAAUCACAAAACUGACUGUAAAUAAAGUAAAAAUUGUUAAGUGAAAAUAUUAAGUGAAGACAAAAAAAUAACCAGCAAGGAGUACACUAAUCACAAACUCUUAUAACUUGGUUUUUUUUACAGUCAGGUUGCUGGCUUGUUUAACAGCUUUGCAUUGACACUGUGCACUCUAUCAGAAGGUUCCAAGCUUGGCCAGAGGUCUGGAGGUGCUGCUAAAUGGCUCCUUAGUUCCUAAAAUCAUCAUGCUAAUACAUAACAUCCUACAGCAUGUCUCUACAGAAACCCAGCAACCCUGAGGUGUUCACAUCAUCUGUUCCUCAGUCCUCUGCAAAGAGGGCUCUUUUCAGUGGAAUCCUAAUCAACCCAGAGUUUUACUCUGCCUAGUAAAAUGACAUCUGUGUGCUGUGAUGGCACUUGGAAAAAGAAAAAUGUGGAGGAAAAACAAGAUUUGAAGAAGAGCUUGAGAAAAUCCCCAGCAAAUUUAGGGAAAAGAGUAAAUUACUCCAGUUGCCUGUUCAGAUCCCCUUGUCUGUUUGUUUAUUUGGAAUAAUGGGCUAAAAAUCAAAUACCCUCUACUCUUACCUGGAAAAUAUUUCAAACGGGCUUCCCUCUGUUACAUUACCAUUACCACUCACUGUCUCAGAGCUGGUAACAAUACAGUUAUUGACAUGUUUGUCAGAACCACUCAGAUCUAUGGGGAAAGAAACAGCAGCAUCUAACAUUCAUGAUUUAACUAACAGAAGCAUUCUCAGUCUCAGAUCCUAGAGAUGUCACUUCCACAGAGCUCAGCUCUCUGCAGCACCUUUCCUUGCCAGCCUUCCAAGACUGCACAAAUUGGGUCCAUCACCACACCAGGUGCCUCCAACUCUUCUGAGAUGAAGCAGUGGUGAAAGAGGUCCUUUCCCUUGGGAACACUUUUAUAUGGUUUUAAAAACACCUUUCACACAGCCUGAAAAUGCUGCAGGUGAAAAGGGAGGAACUAAACCACAAAGGAACCCUAAAGCUUUGUAAAAAUCCUUCUUAAAUUACUACUGUUACCACACAAGCAUGUUCAGAGUUGCAUGCACUGGUCAUGAACUGCAACCAGUCCUAAGCACCCUAACAGAGAAAAUGUAUGGCCAAGGAUGGAAAAAAACCAAUUUGACUCUUUUUGCACAGGCUAAUUUCUAGUGGCUGUUACAGAUGCAGACAGGAAUCCAUGAGUGCAUAUCCAUUUCUUGAGAGAAAAACAAGGGUCACUUUUCCCUCUAAAGUUGCUGCCCAGUGUUCCAUAGAUGAUAUGUCUGGUGGAUGCUACCUAGUGCAGUGUAUUGCAGUUAGAAUGUUCUCAGUAUUUGUCCAGUUUUCCUUACAGAAAUACUUUACCUGUUUUAACUGACAGCAAUUUCUGUCACAUUUAGCUGUGACAUCAGUUUCAAAGCUGAUUAUCUAGAGAAGAUAAUCUCCUAAAAAUGCAAGUUAGUAUUCUGGCAUUAAAGAAAUUACAGUACAGACUGCAUUAAUAUCACAGCCAGGGAUAAACCAGACUCCUGCUCUGGUUGGCUUUUAUGAAGAGUAGAAUAUAAGUAGGAGGCUACACCAUGAACACAGAAGCAAAAUCAAAUUGAAUUUACAAAGUAAGAUAAUAAUAAUGAACUUGACCAGACGCUGUGUUUUAAUUACAUAGAAAGAAAUGUGUUUAUUAGUUUACUCAUUAUUUGGGCUCUGAAUGCAGCCUGGCUGUGAAUGCAGCCAUAAGUUAACUGAAAAAUAUAGGCAUGAAUUGACUAUUUUCUAUUUUUUUCCCCAAGUAUUUUUAGCUGAUGAAUAGUUCAGGAUAAGUAAACUACGCCAGAUUCUGAAAAUGGCUCAUUCCUGGCAGCUAUCAAUAGCAGUAUUCUAGACUCUACGGAGUGCUGAGAAGAUCUUCACUGUCAAUCUGACUAUGUGGGGAGGAAAGGCAUAUCCAACAUCUCUCCUGAGGCCCCUGGAAAAUCAGGCAGACAAAAAAAUCCAGAUUUUUUAUCUGAGUCACCAAAUCAGUCCUGAAUCUCCAAGGAGAGAUGUCAAAAAUGGUUUAGGUACCAAAACAAAAGAACCCCAAACAAACAAUUUAGUUGGCAGGGAAUGGGGAAGAUAAAAAGCUCCCAAAGUUCAAUCUCUGCAGAUGGACCUUCUCUCCCUCUGCUCCAAGAUCCACCAUGUGAAGUCAUAAAAGUCAUAGGCAGCACCAUAUGAUAUUCCUAAACAUUUUGCUCUCUGAAGCCCCAUUGCUCUUUAGUUUGUAGCAAAUGCCUGUGCUAAGGUUAUCACCAUCAUUUUCAAGUUGAAUGGAGAGAUACGGUCCUGAUGUCAAUACUUCUAAAACAAAAUUCCUAGCAAACACAGAGUGAUACCUUAUGGCUGUAGAGAAACAACAAACUUUUAAGACUAUAUUACAUAUUCAGUUGAAGAGUAUUUUUCUGAAAUAUAUUUACUAUCUAGAAGAACAGUAUUUCAAGAUCCUUUUAAAAUGCAUAAUUUUCCUUCUGAGUCUUUAAAAUACUUUAAAUAAUAAUAAAAUAACAUCAAAUAAAUAAUCCCAAAAUGCAUCUCUGAUGAGAUGGGGAAAAGUAAUGAAUAAUAUCUCUCAGGGACACAAAUAACAUUCCA